rnacentral:rRNA from 1 species
UAGGGAAUUUUCCACAAUGGGCGAAAGCCUGAUGGAGCAACACCGCGUGCAGGAUGAAGGCCUUCGGGUUGUAAACUGCUUUUAUAUGUGACGAUUGUGACGGUAGCAUAUGAAUAAGGACCUGCUAACUACGUGCCAGCAGCCGCGGUCAUACGUGGGGUCCAAGCGUUAUCCGGAAUUACUGGGCGUAAAGAGUUGCGUAGGUGGCAGAGUAAGUUGGUAGUGAAAUCCUGGGGCUCAACCCUUUAAACAUUAUCAAAACUGCUCAGCUAGAAGAUGAGAGAGGUCACUGGAAUUACUAGUGUAGGAGUGAAAUCCGUAGAUAUUAGUAGGAACACCGAUGGCGUAGGCAGGUGACUGGCUCAUUCUUGACACUAAGGCACGAAAGCGUGGGGAGCGAACUGGAUUAGAUACCCCUGUAGUCC